rnacentral:rRNA from 1 species
CCUACGGGGGGCAGCAGUAGGGAAUCUUUCACAAUGGGCGAAAGCCUGAUGGAGCAACGCCGCGUGCAGGAUGAAGGCCUUCGGGUUGUAAACUGCUUUUAUAAGCGAGAAAUAUGAUGGUAACUUAUGAAUAAGGAUCGGCUAACUACGUGCCAGCAGCCGCGGUCAUACGUAGGAUCCGAGCAUUAUCCGGAGUGACUGGGUGUAAAGAGUUUCGUAGGUGGUAUAAUAAGUAGCUAGGGAAAUCUGGUGGCUUAACCAUUCAGACUAUUAGCUAAACUGUUAAGCUCGAGACCGUUAGGGGUAACUGGAAAGUAUGGUGUAGGAGUGAAAUCCGUAGAUAUUAGAAGGAACACCAAUAGCGUAGGCAGGUUGCUGGGACGGUUCUGACGCUAAGGCACGAAAGCGUAGGGAGCAAACGGGAUUAGAUACCCGUGUAGUC